rnacentral:lncRNA from 1 species
AGUGGGAGAGACAGCGGGGUUGCUUGAAAGAUGCUAGGACCAGGAAACCAGCUUUUGUAGGGGACUAAUUCCUGUGUAGCAACUUCCUCCUUCCUCCACUAGGGCUAGACAGCUUUAAUGGAGUCUGGACCUUACCAGAAGUUCCAGAAGAGCAAAUGAAUGAGGAUAUCAAGGUCCAGAGAAGUUCCAUGACUUGCUGAGAAUCACACAGGUACUAUUUGGUGGAUCCAGGAUUUGAACUCUGUCCUUCCCUAAAUCCAAAUGUCCAUUUUCCUCUUUUAAAGCCUAUGCAAUCAGUUUAAAACAAACAC